GGUCUUCCAUGAAAACUAAGUCUGUGCCAAGCAGCCGAACGUUACAUGUGAUGGUAUCGUUCUAUCCGGAAGAUCUUUCUCUGCCGCCUGUGUGUGGUUCCGGAAGACGUGGCGGCUGCUGCUGCUGCAUUUGCAGUGUAGUCAUCUAAUUUGCCAGAUACACCGAGAACUUCUAGCUGUGUACAAGACAUUGACGUUAAAGCCUCAAAGAUGAUAUCGUUAACGGAUUCACAGAAAAUAGGCAUUGGCCUGACAGGAUUUGGAGUGUUUUUCUUGUUCUUCGGAAUGAUCCUGUUUUUUGACAAAGCCCUCUUAGCCAUCGGAAAUAUUCUUUUUGUGGUUGGCCUGGCGUUUGUCAUUGGUCUCGAGAGGACGUUCAGGUUCUUCUUUCAGAAGCACAAGAUGAAGGCCACCAGUUUCUUCCUUGGUGGUGUGUUUAUUGUUCUGAUUGGCUGGCCCAUUGUCGGGGUUUGCCUGGAGUUCUAUGGCUUCUUCCUUCUUUUCAGGGGCUUUUUCCCAGUGGUCAUUGGCUUCAUCAGGAGGAUACCUGUGCUGGGCUCUCUGCUCAACCUCCCCUUCAUCAGUGGGGUAAGUGGAGCGUGAGGGACCGGACUGAGGCACAGAAGAGCGGAGAGGGCCACACCCCACACCGAAAGAGGGGUCACACGGCUGAGUAUGUGGACAAAUUGGGUGAAAGCAACAAUAUGGUGUAGUAACUACAGACUGCUUGAGCUGACACUAUUUAUGACAGAAACCAAAAGCAAUUUUAUGUAUUUAAGUCCCUGGUCGACUGGUCAAAUCAAACUCCAAAGGUCAUGCAAUGAAGCCUCCUUCAUUCUCAGACUGUUUCAAGCCUGUCGUGGAGGCAACAUGUGAAAGAGUAAAUAUUUGACAACACAUUUAUCCCCCUCACACCACAUGCCCUGCCUUGGUAACCAAUGGCCACCAAAGUCUGUUACCUACGGGUGGGUGGGGCUUCCUCUAUCACUCAGUCAUGCCCUCCACCCAUAUCCCCUUCUGCCAUUGGUCACUGUUGAUGAUGGACUCCAGCCACCACUUCCUUGCCACUCCCCCUCUGUGCAGAGGGAUCUCUUGAAUGUACCAUGGAAACGCCUUCUCUUCAUCUUCGUCCUCCCCACUUCAUCCCCAGUUCAGCUGAAGAGGAGAGUGGAGGAUGCUGUUACAGCUUAAGCCUUCCCAUCGUGCCUGUGGUCAGACCUCUCUCAGAUGGAGAUGUCAAUCUCAGCCAUAAAUUUGACAAGAUGUUACACUUUUAUUUUUAUUUUUAUUUUGUUUUAUUGGGGUCUUAUCAGUACAUUGAGUGACAGACCUGGUUCUGGGCCUAGUUUAAGUGGCAGGAUGGAAAAAAUGGUCUUAUGCUUUAUAGGAUUGUCAACUUGUCAUAUUUGUUAUAUUUUUUUUGUUUUUCAAUUUGUGUUUUCCAAACAUGCUUGACUGUAAACAGGUCUUUGAAAUCUGAAAGAGAUAUUCUUGUGAAAGGUAAAACCUUUGUUUUGUUCAUCUGCUACUUUUGUAAAUACAGUUUUAACAAAAGAA